rnacentral:rRNA from 1 species
GACGAACGCUGGCGGCGUGCUUAACACAUGCAAGUCGAGCGGUAAGGCCCUUUCGGGGGUACACGAGCGGCGAACGGGUGAGUAACACGUGGGUGACCUGCCCUCAGCUCUGGGAUAAGCCUGGGAAACCGGGUCUAAUACCGGAUAUGACUCCAUGACGCAUGUUGUGGGGUGGAAAGCCUUGUGCGGCUGAGGAUGGGCCCGCGGCCUAUCAGCUUGUUGGUGGGGNGAUGGCCUACCAAGGCGACGACGGGUAGCCGGCCUGAGAGGGCGACCGGCCACACUGGGACUGAGACACGGCCCAGACUCCUACGGGAGGCAGCAGUGGGGAAUCUUGCGCAAUGGGCGAAAGCCUGACGCAGCGACGCCGCGUGAGGAUGAC